rfam:Virgibacillus sp. SK37, complete genome.
UACAAAGGUUGGAAGGCUAAAGUCGCGACGUCCUGGGGCUGCGCAUACUCGCCCCACCAAAACCCAUUGUCGCAACACCUUCAUGACCAACAUCCUGUUGG